rnacentral:rRNA from 1 species
UACAGAGGGGGCAAGCGUUGUUCGGAAUUACUGGGCGUAAAGGGCGCGUAGGCGGCCUGUUAAGUCGGACGUGAAAUCCCUCGGCUCAACCGGGGAACUGCGUCCGAUACUGGCGGGCUUGAGUUCGGGAGAGGGAUGUGGAAUUCCAGGUGUAGCGGUGAAAUGCGUAGAUAUCUGGAGGAACACCGGUGGCGAAGGCGGCAUCCUGGACCGACACUGACGCUGAGGCGCGAAAGCCAGGGGAGCAAACGGGAUUAGAUACCCCCGUAG